UACGUAGGUGGCAAGCGUUGUCCGGAUUUACUGGGCGUAAAGCGAACGCAGGCGGGCCUUUAAGUAGGAAGUGAAAGGUUGGAGUCAACUCUAACACUGCUCCCUAUACUGGAGGCCUUGAGUUUCGGAGAGGAAGACGGAACUGCAGGUGUAGCGGUGAAAUGCGUUGAUAUCUGCAGGAACACCAAUGGCGAAAGCAGUCUUCUGGACGAAUACUGACGCUCAGGUUCGAAAGCCAAGGUAGCAAACAGG
rnacentral:rRNA from 1 species